rnacentral:rRNA from 1 species
AUGAAUUUGAUUGAGUUUCCCUUACUUGACCAAACAAGUUCCAAUUCUGUUAUUUCAACUACACCAAAUGAUCUUUCGAAUUGGUCAAGACUCUCUAGUUUAUGGCCCCUUCUAUACGGUACCAGUUGUUGUUUCAUUGAAUUUGCUUCAUUAAUAGGCUCACGAUUUGACUUUGAUCAUUAUGGAUUGGUACCAAGAUCAAGUCCUAGGCAAGCAGACCUAAUUUUAACAGCCGGUACGCAAAUGCCUGAACCAAAAUACAUCAUUGCUAUGGGAGCCUGUACUAUUACAGGGGGAAUGUUCAGUACGGAUUCCUAUAGUACUGUUCGGGGAGUUGAUAAGUUAAUUCCUGUGGAUGUCUACUUGCCGGGCUGCCCACCUAAACCGGAGGCAGUUAUAGAUGCCCUAACAAAACUUCGUAAGAAGAUAUCGCGAGAAAUAGUUGAGGAUCGAACUCUAUCUCAAAAUAAAAAUAGAUGUUUUACUACCAGUCACAAGCUUUAUGUUAGGCGCAGUACUCAUACAGGAACUUAUGAGCAAGAAUUGCUCUAUCAAUCACCAUCUACAUUAGAUAUAUCUUCUGAAACUUUUUUCAAAUCCAAAAGUUCAGUACCUUCCUACAAAUUAGUGAAUUAG